GUCGCAGCCAGGUAGCAGCAAGCAGGCAUUUGCAUGCAGAAUGGGACACAGAGAUCAACAGGACAGAUUUAGUAUCAGUGAAUUCCCGGAAUAUCAGGAUUGUGAAGAUGCUGCCGCCAUGGCGCCGCCUGAAGAACUGAAGAGAACCUCUGGGAUCCUAGUGGCCAGGACACCAACAUGGCAGCCAGGCUGAACCUCCACACGCUGUGUUGCUUCACAGCGUCCUGGGACAAAGAUGUCAGCAGGAACCCAGCGCUCAGCCCUGGCAUCAUUCACAUCAGUGGCAACAUCCUGCAAGACAGGACCUGAGAACGUGGCCCAGUGGAAAUCCAUUACCAACCACAUUCAGACGGCCCAUGUCCAUGACGACCCUCUGUUCCCCAAGUCUGCUCAUCCUAACCAAGUUUCCAGAGACCCAAACAAUUGGUUUCAGCCGGGUUAGACACGGCAAUCCACAAAACCCGUCCUUUCUAAUGGCAUGCACGUCUGCCACACCCUCUGUUACCUUUGGUCUCUGGAACUGUCAGUCUGCAGUGAACAAAACAGAAUUUAUCAGUUCAUUGAUAAAUCUCUCAGACAUUCAGGUC